UAUAUGUUAUAAAAAAGAUUCUGGACAUUUUGUUUUGAAAAAAAAAAAAAAAAUUGGUUGUUCCUGACUUUUGUUCUUCUGCCGACUGCUACUCUGAGUGCUCUCCCAAAUCUCUCUCCUCACUUUUCAGACGAAAGUCACGAAAUUCUUCCAGAAAUUUGUCCAGGUUAUGAUGGCUCCGAUUAGGAAGUAUCCUUCUGCGGUUAAAAAAAGAAAAGAGAAGCAAAAGAGAGAGGCAUUGGUUAAGCUUCAAGCCGGAUCCCUUCGUGUUGACGGAUGUACUUGAACUUUUGCUUUUUGUGGUUAGAGGACCUAUUUUGUACCAGAUUGCUACAGCUAUAUCUGCCACUGCAACCUGGGAAUUUACACAUAUCAAGUAUCGGUUGGGGCUUGAAGGGUGUGGUUUGGUUGUUUAACAUUGCUACUUAUAUGCUGCCCAUUAUGCACUGAGUAGACAUGCUUCAGCAACUGAACAGAAAAGGGAGGUAGAGAUUGCAAGCAUGCUGAUAUCAUUGUAGGAAAAAUUUAGAAAGUAAAGUUCUGGAUAUUACAAAAUCUGGAUUUACUUCAGCCUCAGAAGGUUGAUGCAUGAAAUUCAUCAAAUUGGUUUUUAUUCUUUCUGCAUAUAGAUUUACUUCAUGAACUCAUUCCUCUGCCUCAGAAGGUUGGUGCAUGAAAUUCAUCAAAUUGGUUUUUAUUCUUUCUGCAUAUAGAUGACCGGAUCAUUGUGUCCACUUUGCUUUCCUCAUAUUGUAGGUUAUCUCCCUCGGAACAUAUAUUCCCUCAAUUCUAAAUAUGGAUCUGAGCACCAAUUAAAAGUUAUGCAGCUAAAUAUGUGAAAGAGUAUAUUGAAGGAGCAAAACCAAUUUUUUCUGUUGGGGAGUAUUGGGAUUCUUGCAACUACAAUGGUCAUGGUUUGGACUACAACCAAGAUAGCCACAGACAACAAAUAAUAAGUUGGAUUGAUGGCACGGGACAGCUGUCAACUGCAUUUGACUUCACAACCAAGGGAGUUCUUCAGCUGUCAAGGGACAAUUAUGGAGAUUACGUGAUCCCCAAGGGAAGCCAUCAGGUGUAAUACAGUAGUACAGCUAGCUAGUUCCUAUAUUUAACUUGUGUCUAGUAGAAAUUCUUUCUUCAUUAGCAUUUGGACUUGUCU